AUAGAUCUAACAAAAAACAAAAGUUCAGAAGUAAAUGGGAUACAUUGAUUAAGGGAAGUAUGUUUCCUAAUUUACCAAAAGAGUAGCAUCAUCUUCUCACCCACGAGAAGGAAUAGAGCAAAAUAGAAUCAAUUUUUGUUUUUGGUUAUUACACUACUUACACACCUACACUUUGAGGUUUUAAAAAAUUUCAUCCCUGUCUCAGCUAGGGUCUAAAUUUAGUGCAGCUUGAUUAAAAGACAACAUGAUUGCCCCUUAGUCUAGGCCUCCGCCGUAUAGAAUCAGCUUUUAUCUCUCACUUGAAUGGAGAUGUGGGCCGCUUCAACACACAUCCCAAAAAAUCUUCUUUUAUUUUUUGUUGAAGGCCAAUUUAUUCUUUGCUUUCUAGAUUUACCAGCACAAAUUUGCUGCUAAUUCUAUCUCUUCUGGUUAAUUGUGUCUUCUCCUCUUGUUUACCUUUACUAAACAUGACCACCAUUUUCAUGUUUUUUCUUAUUGUGUAGGAAAAUCAAGUUCUGAGAGUUUUAAUGCUUCUAUUGAAUCUGGACACUCAAAGAUGCAGUGAUCCAUCAUUUCUUCUUUUGUUUGGUAGUGAGGACAAAUCGGGUUAUGUGAUGCGAUUCUGGGUUGCAAUUUUUUGUUAAAUGAAAAGCCUUCAUGAACCAUCUUUCAGAUAAAAUUUUUGACUUUUGGUUGGCUCUUCAGCUUCCAUAUAUCCAACGAAAGCUCCUUCUAUUUAAAUUGAUCAACAAGGAACUCCCGGGAGGGUGGUAAAAAUGAAAGGCUAUUUGGUAUCCAGACACUACAGAGUAUCCACCAUUUCUUGUCCUCAUCCAGGUUAGUUGGUCUUUGCCUUCACAAAUAGGAGUAUUGAUAAUUGUCUCUACAAUUUUUUAUUAAAAAAAUUUUGGUAUUUUUUACUGGUUCCAUGUUCUGUUAGGUAAAAUUAGUUCUGAGAUCCGUUGAGAAAUUCUGUCUGUAUCUUGGGUAGCAAUAGGCGUAAUUGAAGUGUACUCUUUAACUCAUGAAUCUGUCUGAAUGUUCACAAUAUUUUUUCUAGCAAUUUUUUAGAUUAGUCCUUUUUCUAGAACUUUCCUACCUUCGAUGACACUUCUCCAACCCCAUGAUAGGUUAUUCCUUGUCUCUGCUCUCAAAAAGCUUGUGAAUCUGUAAUAUUUACUUCUAUAGACUUUGUUAGUUAGUAAAUUUGGCUUAGAAGGUAACCUCCAACCUUGUUUUGCCAGCAUUGCAAGGUUGAAAGCCUUUAAGUCUUUGAAAUUUAGGCUUCCUUGAUUUCUGGGUCUACAUGUAAUCUGCCAACAUAUCCAUUGCAUCUUGCACUCUCUGUUUUUUGCCCCCACUAAAAUUGUAGGAUAGUUUGUUGUAACUCCUCCAAUAAAGUAUCAGGCAACCUAAAACAACCCAGUGUAUAAAUGGGCACUGCUGUAGUCACUGUCUUUAUUAGAACUUCUCUACCAUUAGGAGAAAGUAGAGCAUGUUUUUACAGUUGGAAUUUUUUAUUGACCUUUUUUUAAUAUAGUUGAAAGUAGCUCUCUUGAACUUUUGUGAAAUAGAUGAUAAUCCUAAAUACUUAUUUUGAUUCUCGAUAUGCGGGACCAUAAGAAUGGAUGCUAGUUGGUCUUGGAUUUGAAGUGGAGUAUUCUUACUAAAGAAAAUAGACGACUUGUCUAGAUUAACCACUUGACCACCUAUACCCUCGUAAGUCUAUAAAAUACGAAGUAGGCCACGACAGUUGAUAAACUACUAUUUUAUGGUUUAUCUUGUGCUAAUUUGAGUGGUUUUUAUCAAGUCUUGGCACACUUAUUCAUACAAAUUGCAUGAUUAUACAAUUCCUUUCCAAUUUUGUUCUAUGGUUGAAAACUUGCUUCCUAAGCCUUUAAAUUGUGUAUUUUAAUUCCCCUUUAUACCAUUCGAUGUCGUGAUCUGUGUGUUAAGUGUUUUCAGGAUAUAUAGGGUAGGAAUAGCUUAAAGGAUGGAGAGGAAGCUUGCAAAAAUGAAAGGAACACAAAAAAAGUAGAUGACCAGCGAGCAUCAACGCGUACGCGUACCUCACGCGUGUACGCGAUCUGGGGAUUUUCACAGCGACGCAUGCGCGUACCUGACGCAUGCGCGUGACUUGGCGUAUUCCAUAGCGACGCGUGCGCGUACCUGACAUGUACGCGUGACAUGCGCCACGUGCAGAAAGUGCAGAAGACGCUGGGGGCGAUUUUGGGCUGAGUUUGGACCCAGUUUUCGGCCCAGAAACACAGACUAGAGCCAGAGGACAAGCAGAGACUCAACACACAUUCACUUUUACACAGUUUUUAGUUUUGGUUUUGAAUCUUAGAGAGAAAAUACUACUUCCUCUAGGGUUCUUCAUAUUCAUAGAUUUCUAGUUUUAUGCUUUUGAUUUGGAUAUUGAAAAGAGUUACUACCUCCGUUGAAGUUUCCAUUAUUCUAGUUUGUUCUCUAUUUUCCUUAUUCUUUUAAUCACCCAUUUACCCUGUUCAGAAUUACAUAUGGAUAUCUUUGAUUUUGGAAUUUAUUAAAGUAAAGAGUUAUUUUUACCUUUAAUUAA
rnacentral:lncRNA from 1 species